UACGUAGGGUGCAAGCGUUAAUCGGAAUUACUGGGCGUAAAGCGUGCGCAGGCGGUUAUGUAAGACAGAUGUGAAAUGCCCGGGCUUAACCUGGGAACUGCAUUUGUGACUGCAUGGCUAGAGUUUGGCAGAGGGGGGUAGAAUUCCACGUGUAGCAGUCGAAAUGCGUAGAUAUGUGGAGGAACACCGAUGGCGAAGGCAGCCCCCUGGGUCAAGACUGACGCUCAUGCACGAAAGCGUGGGGAGCAAACAGG
rnacentral:rRNA from 1 species